rnacentral:rRNA from 1 species
UACGGAGGGUGCAAGCGUUAUCCGGCUUUACUGGGUUUAACGGGUGCGUAGGUGGACAGGAAAGUCAGUGGUGAAAUCUUCGAGCUUACCUCGGAAACUGCCAUUGAUACUAUUUGUCUUGAAUACUUUGGAGGUAAGCGGAAUAUGUCAUGUAGCGGUGAAAUGCUUAGAUAUGACAGAGAACACCAAUUGCGAAGGCAGCUUACGACACAGUUAUUGACACUGAGGCACGAAAGCGUGGGGAUCAAACAGG